rnacentral:rRNA from 1 species
AGAUAAUAGAUACCCGGUAGUCCACGCCGUAAACGUUGGGCGCUAGGUGUGGGUCCUUCCACGGAUUCCGUGCCGCAGCUAAACGCAUUAAGCGCCCCGCCUGGGGAGUACGGCCGCAAGGCUAAAACUCAAAGGAAUUGACGGGGCCCGGCACAAGCGGCGGAGCAUGUUGCUUAAUUCGACGCAACGCGAAGAACCUUACCAAGGCUUGACAUGCAGGGAAAAGCCGUAGAGAUACGGUGUCCGUAAGGGCCCUGCACAGGUGGUGCAUGGCUGUCGUCAGCUCGUGUCGUGAGAUGUUGGGUUAAGUCCCGCAACGAGCGCAACCCUUAUCCUAUGUUGCCAGCGGAUUAUGCCGGGGACUCAUGGGAGACUGCCGGGGUCAACUCGGAGGAAGGUGGGGAUGAGGUCAAGUCAUCAUGCCCCUUAUGUCUUGGGCUGCAAACAUGCUACAAUGGCCGGUACAGAGGGCUGCGAGACCGCAAGGUGGAGCGAAUCUCAAAAAGCCGGUCUCAGUUCGGAUUGGGGUCUG